UGUUGAAGGCCCAGGAUGGUUUGAAAAAUAGGCAAGGAGGUACGGUCUAUCUUGAAACUGCAUGUAUGAAGCGUGUUGGAGAAAAUAAUGAGACCAUGGACGACAUUUACCCUAAGCGCGGCCAUCGUCCUGCUUUAGUUCAAAGAGUGCAAACUUACUUGGGCCAUGAUAUGGUAUUAAUUUUGUGAACCAACUAUUGUUCUUUUAUUAUCAUUUUGUUAUGGAUGGUAAAAUGUUUAUUAUUUGAUUUUAUAGGUGUUCCUUCCAAUAAAUGUUACGCAUACACACUGGUACCUUGCAGUUGUAAACGCUGAUAAACAUGAGGUCCAGGUGCUAGACUCUUUGGGAGAUAUGUUCGGACGUGAUGACUUGAAAAAAGUUCUAAUUGGAUUGAGGAGACAAAUAGAAUUCGUAUUCAAUGAGGAGAAAGACCUGAAAGAGCAUAAAUGGCCUGAUGUUAAAGUUGAUGAUUGGCCGGUGAAGGAGAUUUUUCGUGACAAAUUCUUACAAAAAGAUGGUUUUUCAUGCGGAUUAUUCUUAAUAAAUUUUAUGGAAUAUUGGACCAGGAAUGAAUUAUCAGACAAUUUCAAUCAGGUAAUCUAGCACCCUAGCUGUGGGUUUGUAAUUAAUAUUUAACUAGGUUCAUACUAUGUAAUAUGCAGGAUGAUAUGAAAGCGUUUAGACUAAAGCUU